CUAACAAGGAUUCCCCUAGUAACUGCGAGUGAAGCGGGAAAAGCUCAAAUUUAAAAUCUGGCAGUCUUUGAUUGUCCGAGUUGUAAUCUAGAGAAGUGUUACCCGCGCUGGCCUGUGCAAAAGUCUUCUGGAAUGAAGCAUCAAAGAGGGUGAGAAUCCCGUAUUUGGCAUAGACAACCAGGGCUUUGUGGUGCGCUCUCAACGAGUCGAGUUGUUUGGGAAUGCAGCUCAAAAUGGGUGGUAAAUUCCAUCUAAAGCUAAAUAUUGGCGAGAGACCGAUAGCGAACAAGUACCGUGAGGGAAAGAUGAAAAGAACUUUGGAAAGAGAGUUAAACAGUACGUGAAAUUGCUGAAAGGGAAACGCUUGAAGUCAGUCGCGUUGGUUGGAAAUCAGCCUUGCUUUUUGCUUGGUGUACUUUCUAAUGAACGGCUCAGCAUCAAUUUUGACCAUUGGAUAAAGGUUGUUGGAAUGUGGCACCUUCGGGUGUGUUAUAGCCUUCAAUUGCAUACAAUGGUUGGGAUUGAGGAACUCAAUGCGCCGCAAGGCCGGGUCUUUGACCACGAACGCAUUAAGGAUGCUGGGAUAAUGGCUUUAAUCGACCCGUCUUGAAACACGGACCAAGGAGUCUAACAUGCCUGCGAGUAUUUGGGUGGAAAACCCGGAUGCGCAAUGAAAGUGAAAGUUGAGAUCCCUGUCAUGGGGAGCAUCGACGCCCGGACUUGAUGUUUACUGACGGUUCCGCGGUGGAGCAUGUAUGUUGGGACCCGAAAGAUGGUGAACUAUGCCUGAAUAGGGUGAAGCCAGAGGAAACUCUGGUGGAGGCUCGUAGCGAUUCUGACU
rnacentral:rRNA from 1 species